UCGGGAAUUUUGGGCAAUGGGGGGAAACCCUGACCCAGCAACGCCGCGUGAGGGAUGAAGGCCUUCGGGUCGUAAACCUCUGUCGGGAGGGAAGAACGGCAUCUGUUCGAACAGGGCAGGUGAUUGGCGGUACCUCCAAAGGAAGGACCGGCUAACUCCGUGCCAGCAGCCGCGGUAAUACGGAGGGUCCGAGCGUUGUUCGGAAUCACUGGGCGUAAAGCGCGUGUAGGCGGCUUGGCAAGUCGGUUGUGAAAUCCGGGGGCGCAACCCCGGAACUGCAACCGAAACUGCCUCGCUCGAGUCCCGGAGAGGGUGGCGGAAUUUCCGGUGUAGAGGUGAAAUUCGUAGAUAUCGGAAGGAACACCAGUGGCGAAGGCGGCCACCUGGACGGUGACUGACGCUGAGACGCGAAAGCGUGGGGAGCAAACAGGAUUAGAUACCCCCGUAGUCC
rnacentral:rRNA from 1 species